rnacentral:rRNA from 1 species
CAGUCGCCGCGGUAAUACGUAGGGUGCGAGCGUUAAUCGGAAUUACUGGGCGUAAAGCGUGCGCAGGCGGUUGUGUAAGACAGGUGUGAAAUCCCCGGGCUUAACCUGGGAACUGCGCUUGUGACUGCACAGCUAGAGUAUGGCAGAGGGGGGUGGAAUUCCACGUGUAGCAGUGAAAUGCGUGGAGAUGUGGAGGAACACCGAUGGCGAAGGCAGCCCCCUGGGCCAAUACUGACGCUCAUGCACGAAAGCGUGGGGAGCAAACAGGAUUAGAUACCCGGGUAGUCCCUGUCUCUUAUAC